CCGAGACAGGUGCUGCAUGGCUGUCGUCAGCUCGUGCCGUGAGGUGUUGGGUUAAGUCCCGCAACGAGCGCAACCCUAUUGCCAGUUGCUACCAGGUAAUGCUGGGCACUCUGGUGAGACUGCCCCGGUUAACGGGGAGGAAGGUGGGGACGACGUCAAGUCAUCAUGGCCCUUACGCCUAGGGCUACACACGUACUACAAUGGCGCAUACAAAGGGCAGCGAUACCGCGAGGUGGAGCCAAUCCCAAAAAGUGCGUCCCAGUCCGGAUUGCAGUCUGCAACUCGACUGCAUGAAGUUGGAAUCGCUAGUAAUUCGAGAUCAGCAUGCUCGGGUGAAUGCGUUCCCGGGCCUU
rnacentral:rRNA from 1 species